UUGUUUGGAAUUCUCUGUCUCCUUCUCUCUCUGCCCCUGCCCCACUCUCACUGCUUCUGUCUCUCUCAAAUGAAUAAGUAAACUUAAAAAAAAAAAAAAAACUCCUCUUGAAGUACAUGUGCAGAGAACCAUCUGGAGUCAGGCCACACUGAGAAUCGUAUUUGACACAGAAGAGGAUCUGAACCUACAAGGCCAGCUGAUUAGAUUUCUUUCUGUAAGAAUUUAGGGACUUUAUGUAGAGGGUCCCUGCAAAACCAAAAUGGGUGUGUGACCUGUGACUUCAACAGAGUGUGGGGAUGGUGAGCUGUUGACUUCAACCAAAGUAAUCCCACUGCUCUCCUGCCUCACCAUACAGCCACACAUCAGCAACACCUGGAAAAUCUUCUAAGAGCAGAAGGCUGAGUUCCAUCCCAAGAUCUGCUGGUUUGGGAGACCUAAGUCGCUUGAGAGAAAGAGGGGACACUCCUUUACUCAACCUUUACUCUCAGAUGGCCAAGAAAAUUAUUCAGAACUCUAUGGUAUAUAUGCAUACCUCAUAUACAUGUUGUGAUUAGCCCAGGAAAUCCCUUUUAUGUUUCGACUUGCAUUUCGGGGACAAUGUGCCACUGGUCAGGCUUCCUGCAGAUAUAGACCCUUUCCUCUGCUGCCUUAUACUGUAUUUAAUGAAACUGGCAAUAUGACAACAGUUUAUUAAUACCGUACUGUGUCAACUUCCGUUGGUGAUAUUGAAAGCUAUCCUACACAAUAACCCUCUUCUCUCAUGUCUCCCUCACACCAGCCACAAAAGUUUUCAAAGGUUUUCAUUUGACACCUCAAAUACCUGAAGAUGGUAGUUACCGUGGAAGCUUAUGAGAGACCCAAGAUAUUUGCCCCCUUUGAUGGUGAUGCCUGGUUAUAAGCAAACCCUCUGUCACUCUUGUGAAAAGCUGAUUUGCUUGCACGUUAAAAAGAAUAAAAUCUCAUAAGCAGAGGGAUGGAACCGAUAUGGAUAAUAAUCAGUAUGUUUAUUAUCGCUAAAAAUAGAGAAAUAAAGAAGAGUGGCAACUGUCUCAAAGAUUUUUAUAUUGGACUCCUGAAACUUCUGGACCCUUGGCUUUUUUAAGGAAAGCAAAAUAGGGCUAACCUAGCAGAAAAUAUUCAUGUCUGCCUUUUUGCAAGCACUGAAAACUCUCUGGUCUCAAAGCAUGGAAAUGUUAUAAAAAGUGGGUGUCAUUAUUAUAAUAGCUCUAUAUUUUUCUGGGCCAGAAGCCUUUUUCUUCUUUUUCUUUUGUUGUUGUUAUUUUUGGAUAACUGUAGAAAUAAAUACAAGGAUGUGCUUUUUAUGGACAGAAUUAUGUCUCCCCAAAAUUCCUAUGUCAAAGCCCUGGCCCCAAUUCCUUAGAAUGUGACUAUAUAUGGAGACAGCAUCUUUAAAGAGAUCUUUAAGUUAAAAUGAGGCUGUUACAGUACACCCUAACCCAGUCUGGCUGGUGUUUGUAUGAGGAUGAGAUAACCAGGGAUAGCUGUGCACAGAGUAAAGGCCACAUGAGGACACAGGGAGGAGACUGCCACCUGCUGGCCAAGGAGAGGGGUCUCACAAGAAACCAGACCUGCCGACACAUUGAUCUUGGUCUUCCAGUCUAGAGAACUGUAAGAACAUAAGUUUCUGUAGUUUAAGCCUCCCAGCCUGUGGUAUCUUGUUAUGAUAGGUGUGGCAAAGUAACGCAUAUACAGUGCCACAAAGAUUAGUAUUUCUAACUGCUCCAAAUAACAGCAAAAAUUCAGAAGUACGCUAUCUUAGAUCUUCUUAGACAUUUUCCUGUGAUAAUUCUUCCUGGAUCUGGGAAGCAAUUGGCCUAACAAACCAAUGUUACUAGAGUGUGGUACCACAAGGCCUUGUCCAUUUUGUCUCAAGAAAUUAUUUCUAUAAGUUCUUCCUAUGGAAGGAAAUGGAAGCAACUGAAUCUUUCUCUGGCAUGAUUAUGUCUGCUACUUUAUAAUAAUUCUAUUUGAAAACAGCAAAGUCAAGCCUUUCUGGCCCAAAUGAUAAAAUAAGUUGAUAGUGGAUAUCAUCACUACAAACAUCUAAAAUAUAGGGGGUGCCUGGGUGGCUCAGUCGGUUGAGCAUCUGACUCUUGAUCUCAGCUCAGGUCAUGAUCUCACAGUUUAUAAGAUUGAGUCUGGCAUUGGGUUCUGGUCUGAGAGUACAGAGCCUGCUUGGGAUUCUCUCUCUCCCUCUCUCCUUCCCCUCCCCUGCUCACACUCACUCACUCACUCUCUGUCUUUCCCUUUCUCU